rnacentral:rRNA from 1 species
AUUGAACGCUGGCGGCAGGCCUAACACAUGCAAGUAGAGCGGAGCGGCGGACGGGUGAGUAAUGCCUAGGAAACUGCCUGGUAGUGGGGGAUAACGUCCGGAAACGGGCGCUAAUACCGCAUAAUAUCAGAUGAGCAUAGGUAGGAUUAGCUAGUUGGUGGGGUAAAGGCCUACCAAGGCGACGAUCCGUAACUGGUCUGAGAGGAUGAUCAGUCACACUGGAACUGAGACACGGUCCAGACUCCUACGGGAGGCAGCAGUGGGGAAUAUUGGACAAUGGGCGAAAGCCUGAUCCAGCCAUGCCGCGUGUGUGAAGAAGGUCUUCGGAUUGUAAAGCACUUUAAGUUGGGAGGCGUUACCCGCAGAAGAAGCACCGGCUAACUCCGUGCCAGCAGCCGCGGUAAUAC